rnacentral:rRNA from 1 species
AACGAACGCUGGCGGCGUGGAUAAGACAUGCAAGGCGAGCGGGACAUCACUUGUAGCAAUACGAGUGAUGUUUAGCGGCGCAAGGGUGCGUAACACGUGGGCAAUUUGCCAUAAAGCUGGGGAUAACUCCGGGAAACCGGAGCUAAUACCGAAUGUGAAUGUUUUGGGGCAUCCUGAGACAUUUAAAGCUGGGGACCCGAAAGGGCCUGGCACUUUAUGAUGAGCCCGCGGCCUAUCAGCUAGUUGGCGUGGUAACGGCACACCAAGGCUAAGACGGGUAGCUGGUCUGAGAGGACGACCAGCCACACUGGAACUGAGACACGGUCCAGACACCUACGGGUGCAGCAGUCGAGAAUUUUUCACAAUCGGCGCAAGCCUGAUGGAGCGACGCCGCGUGGGGGAUGAAGGGCUUCGGCUCGUAAACCCCUGUCAGUUGCGAACAAGAUUCAUUCAAUAACACUGGGCGGAUUGAUAGUAGUGACAGAGGGAA